rnacentral:rRNA from 1 species
GAUGAACGCUGGCGGCGUGCCUAAUACAUGCAAGUCGAGCGAACGGACGAGAAGCUUGCUUCUCUGAUGUUAGCGGCGGACGGGUGAGUAACACGUGGAUAACCUACCUAUAAGACUGGGAUAACUUCGGGAAACCGGAGCUAAUACCGGAUGAUAUUUUGAACCGCAUGGUUCAAAAGUGAAAGACGGUCUUGCUGUCACUUAUAGAUGGAUCCGCGCUGCAUUAGCUAGUUGGUAAGGUAACGGCUUACCAAGGCAACGAUGCAUAGCCGACCUGAGAGGGUGAUCGGCCACACUGGAACUGCGACACGGUCCAGACUCCUACGGGAGGCAGCAGUAGGGAAUCUUCCGCAAUGGGCGAAAGCCUGACGGAGCAACGCCGCGUGAGUGAUGAAGGUCUUCGGAUCGUAAAACUCUGUUAUUAGGGAAGAACAUAUGUGUAAGUAACUGUGCACAUCUUGACGGUACCUAAUCAGAAAGCCACGGCUAACUACGUG